rnacentral:rRNA from 1 species
UACAGAGGUCCCAAGCGUUGUUCGGAUUCAUUGGGCGUAAAGAGCUCGUAGGCGGUCUGUUGCGUCUGCUGUGAAAACUCGGGGCUUAACCCCGAGCCUGCAGUGGAUACGGGCAGACUAGAGGUAGGUAGGGGAGAAUGGAAUUCCCGGUGUAGCGGUGAAAUGCGCAGAUAUCGGGAGGAACACCGGUGGCGAAGGCGGUUCUCUGGGCCUUACCUGACGCUGAGGAGCGAAAGCGUGGGGAGCAAACAGG